UAUUCUGGGCUGUCUUUGAAACAGUAGUGGGGGGAAAAAACCGCUGGAAAAGUUUGGGAGAGUGUGACAAACCAAGCGCUUCGAGAGACAAGAAUCGAAACCCGUUGGGCUCUUUGCCCCAAUUUUGGAUUACGAUAUGGACGCUUUGAAGUCGGCUGGAAGGGCAAUAAUUCGGAGCCCCAGUCUCGCUAAACAGUCAUGGGGUGUGGGCAGACAUAAAAAGCUGCCAGAGAACUGGACAGACACGCGAGAAACCCUGCUGGAGGGCAUGGUGUUCCAACUCAAGUACCUGGGCGUCACGCUGGUGGAGCAGCCCAAAGGAGAGGAGCUCUCUGCAGCCGCCGUCAAGAGGAUUGUUGCCACGGCCAAAGCCAGUGGCAAGAAACUCCAGAAAGUGACAUUAAAAGUGUCCCCUCGAGGAAUCAUCCUCUACGACUAUGCCUCUAAUCAGCUGAUUGAGAACAUCUCCAUAUACAGGAUAUCCUACUGCACAGCAGACAAGAUGCACGACAAAGUGUUUGCCUACAUCGCCCAGAGCCAACAGAACGAAACCCUGGAGUGCCACGCAUACCUCUGCACGAAGAGGAAGGUGGCCCAGGCAGUGACGUUAACAGUGGCCCAGGCCUUCAGAGUGGCGUUUGAGUUCUGGCAGGCCGCCAAAGAAGAGAAGGAGAAACACGUGAAGUCUGGGUCAGAUGUGGAAGAAGCAAGUAAUAGCCAGUCAGAGAGCUUGUCCAGACUGGGCAGUCUGAAGGGAGGAGAAGUGGCCACAGGGAACCUUCUGGACUUGGCAGAGGGGGCAAACAUGGCGCUGCUGCACUCAGGGACAAAGGAGAGCGAACCAGACCCAUUCAUGACGCACAACCACGCCACAGAGAACAACAAUACUGUAUGGGAGCUUGAGGAUGGUCUGGAUGAAGCUUUCUCAAGGGGAGGUCAGUAGUGGUGCUUCCCAGCGUGCAACAGAGCAACAGCAGCAAACCCUCAACGCCGCCUGAGCAGAAAGGAUCCGAGACCAGGUCUGUGAAGAAAUCUUCUCCAGAGAAGAAUCUUCAAGAGGGGGUGAUGACCGAGCUGCUGAACCUGAUGAACCAUGUGGCUGACCAGGCACCAAGCCUCAACGGCAGGCAGUGGCAGCCCCCCUCAGAUCUCCACUGCAGAACCAGAACUACAGGAACCCCCGGUGCUUUGCCAAGGUCCCACAGAUCUUCGAGAGAAGUCCGGUUCUGUCAAUCCAAGCAACAAAGGAUAUUUUAUCUGAAAUGUAUUAAUUUGCAUCAAUAUGUAAUAUGUUAAUUGCUAAAGUGGCUUGAAGCCCAGUGAUUGCAGUCAGUGUUUGUUUUUAUUUUGUCUUGAUUCCUAGUCUUGAUUCCUAGUCUUGAUUAGCUUUUUGAAUGCUGUGCGUAUUUCCCUGUCUAAGUACUUAUUUAUGCAGUUUUAAUUUCUUACCCAAUAUAUUUUGUGUUCAUACUGUUGAAGUUUUUUUAGUACUUCUGAUUAACCCUGGUUCAGCUAGAACAGUUUGAAGGGACAAUCACUUUUUUGAUCCAGACAUGCUCUUCACUUGCUGCCUCAGAUGGUCUGUCAUUUGUUUAUUAGCAUUAGUCCGAAUUUAAGGUAAUUUUGUCUGUGGCCAUGUUAUGCUUAAUUUGCAUGAGUCUCUAGCCUUUCUAGGCUUUACAUGACAGUUUUCAUAUCAUGCUUUUUUCUACUGGUCCAGUGACCUUUGAUACCUCUUAUCUGACUCCUUCCCAGGCAUUUUAAUGACACUCCUCCCUCUGGUUCCCAGCACCAUUCACAGGAGGUGAGCAGUUCUCCUUGACCUACUUAUUGAGAGAUUUUUCAGGGAAAGGGAAGACAUUUCACCUGAAUUAUGUAUGCCAACCUUGCCUAAAGAUGAUUGAAUCAGUGACUUAUGAGCACCUGCCUUCGACCUUACAGGUGACAUUGAACUGCUUCCCAGAACUUCCUAAUGGAAUUAAACGCCUUUUUAAAACAGUGUUGUAGCUACAGUUAAUGUGGUUCAGAUGCCUUUGCUGCAGAUAUCACACUUGGUCUGUGAAAUGGUCUAAAAUGCCAAGUGUCAGUUCAAUGUGAAGGAAAGGAAGAGGAUCAUUUAUUAUGUAAAUGUAUGUUAUAGAAGCCCAGAGUCCUUUAACUUGUAUAACAUUUAUAGUCCUGUACAGCCCACAAACAUCUAGAGGUCUCUCUGUGAACAAGCCUGUUGAUGCUUAUUAUUGUAGAGUAGCAUUGAACAGUAGGCGCUGAUGUAACAUUUGAGUUUAUUUGUUUGCUUUGAACUGGUGACAAUAUUUGGUAUUGUAAUGGAUCUCUAUAGAAUCCGGUAAAAUGUCUCAGUCCCAAAAGUUGGAUUAUAAUUAUGUUUGUGGGUGGAUGCCUAUGGCAUACCAUCAGCUUGUUUCGCCUUGUGUCUGUGUACAUGUGUACAUUUUUGGUGUUUCUUCUAACGUUUAUUGUAUACUAUAAUGUUGUAUGUGUAGGCCCUGUCACUAUGUCCUCCAUCCAUUAAAUAAUGCAGGCAGUUAAAGUAAGCGCGUCUCCACAGAUAUUCUGACAGUCUGUCUCUAGCCAGCCA